AAAAAAGAAGGGAAGGGAAGGGAAGGGAAGGGAGAAGAAAAACCAGAACCUCCCAUUCAUUAAAGCGGAAAAGGUACCUAAAGACUUAAAUAAUUGAACUGUUUGAUUACUCUCUUUCCCACAUCUCUCUCUCUCUCUCUCUCUCUCUCUCUCUCUCCUCCUUCCUCUCUUUU
rnacentral:miRNA from 1 species